GGGGAUGUUUAGGAUUCGACAGGGAUACUAGUCUUCUUGGUGGCAUGUAGGAGGGUUGGCUCCUUUAACAACACAUCAGUUAAAUAUAACUGGCGAAAAUACAAAUUACGCUUUAGCAGCUUAAUAAGCUAAAGGCUGAUUACUUUGUUUGACUGUGACAAAGCUAAUCGGUUCAUUAAUUAGCAGUCUACGAUUUUUCUCUUCCGUUUGUAGAGAAAAAUAAGAGAUUAAUCAAACUCGUUUUUCAUUGCCUGUUUAUCGGCUUAAGUGGAAAAUUAAAUUUAAUAGGUAAACUAAACAUGUAGAAGCUAAGGAGAGGUAUUUUUGGACGCGGGUUCAAAUCCCGCCAUCUCCAUAU
rnacentral:tmRNA from 1 species